UGGCUACACAUUGCAAGUGAGAUGAAGAACCCCACAUUUCUGCUGAAGACCUCAGAAGGCAAAUUUUAAGCCAUGGAUUUUCUGAGGAGAGCUCAUGUGGACAGUGUGUAUAUGAAGCAAACAGAAGACAACCAAACAAUGCAUAUUUUAUUAUAUCCUCUGAUGCAGGAGGGCAUGGGAGGUUGAGGGAAGAUGACCAAUGUAUCCAAAUUCAAUGGUAGAGAAGCUCUGGGUUUUAUCUGUCUUGAAUGUCCCUUGUCUUCCAAGGUGUGAUGGUUAAUUUUAAGUGGCAACUUCAACUGAAUUAAAGGUUACCCAGAUAGCUGGUGAAGCAUUAUUUCUAGGAGUGUCUUUAAGGGGGUUUCCAGAAGAGACUGGCAUUUGACUCUGUAGCCUGAGCUAAGACUAUACACUGUCAUCAAAUGGGAGCAGGCACCAUCCAAUCUGUUGACAUUCCUGGAUAGAACAAAAAAGGCAGAGGGAAGACAAAUUUGCUCUUUCUCUUCUGGAUUGGAGACAAACUUCUUCUCUUGCCCUUGGACAUCAGAACUCCAGGUUUCUCUGGCCUUCAUGUCUGGAACUUCAACCAGCACCCUACAUCCCCAUCCAAUUAUGAAACCAAGAAUUAUACAUCAGAUUUCCUGGUCUGAGGCUUUUGCCUGCAGAACUGUCUUCCCUGGAUCUCCAGCUUGCAGACUGGCCGUUGUGGGACUUUUCAGCCUCUAUAAUCCUGUGAUCCAAUUCUUCUCAUAAAUCUUCCUCAUACCUCUUCCUCUCACAGAGAGAAAGAGAGAAAGAAGAAAAAUUCCAUACCUAUGAGAGAGAGAGAAGAAGGAGAAGGGAAGGAGAAAGAGGAAGACAGAGAGAGGAGGGAAACAAUGACAGAUAGAGAGGAGAGAGAGAAGAGUAUAUGAGAUACGAAAGAAACAGAAGUGAAAAAGAAGAGAAAGGGUAAUGGAGAGACCGAGGGAGAGAGAAAAAGAAGAGAGAGAGAAGAGAGGAAAUCAGGGGACAGAGGAGAAGAGGGAGGGUGGUAGAGAAAAGACAGUAAGAGAGAGGGAGACAGGAGACAGAGAGACAGAGACAGGAGAAAAAGACGAGAAUAGAGGGUAAAUUGAGAUUGAGACUGAGCCUGGGCUUCUAUUUUUCUCCUGCCCAUCUUUGGUAAUGACAUGACCUUGAAAAUCAUUGAUCUACCUCAUCUAUUAAGAGUCAAAGAGACAUCUCCAGGAAAGUAGAUGGUGCUGAUGAGGGCUUAGAGAGGAUGGAUUUGUGUGUGUGUGUGUGUGUGUGUGUGUGUGUGUACAGGUAUUCAGUUGCUGUUAGUGCAAAAAGCCCAGUAAGGAUUGGCUGAGAUUAGAUGCCAGUCAUAGAAAUCCAUUUAAGAAAAUCAGUGGGUGUGUUUAUAUCUUAGCCUGUUGCCCACACUUGUCCCAGCAUAUACUCCAGGGUGAAAAAGCUCACAGAAAUUUGGCAAUGAAUUGUCCAUUUUUCAAAUUGUCUUUGGUCCUCAUUGCUAUACCAUGGCUCUGCUAAGAAAACAGAACUGAAUGGAUGUUUUAUUUUGUACAGUUAUCAAAUCUACUUCUCCUAGAGUAUGCUGAAGUGUUUAUGUUCCUUCAAAAUUAAGAGCAGUAGUAACAAAUCGGUUUGUCCUUUCAUUUUUAGAACAUCAGUAUAUGAUGGCUUCAUUUGCCACCUGAUUUUAGUCAUCCUGCUUUAAAAAGUCUGUGGAAAUUAAUGACACUUAUUGAGUUAAGUAUAAGUUUUCUUAUAUAGUUUACUAAGUUCUCUGGGUAUUAGAAUAUAUUGGGCACCUUUGUCAACUCAAAAUUGAGGAAUAUAUACACUGGCUUUGAAAAAGUAGAUUUCUUCUGGAGUGCAAUUGCAUGAUCUCAGCUCACUGCAACCCUCUAAAAAAAAGAAAAAAAAAGAAAAAAUAGAUUUCUUAUUUACUGAAUUAAUGUGAACAUUCAAAUGCUUGGUAAAAGCUAGUAGUUUUCUAGUUAAGUUAAUAUCAGAUCACAUAAAAUAUCUCAGAAAAUAGACAUCUAUCUUCAGUUAUGGAGAAGAGCAAUAAUGACAAACAUAAUUUAUUUUAAAUUUUUAUUUCUUAAAGUAGAAGCAUAUAUACUCUCAAUCUCAGUCUUACAUAUAUUUGAAUCAGACCACAAAGAAAUAAAAUCAAUUAAAUAUGGUUUUAUGCAUCAUUUGUUUAGUAAUUUAAACUUUAUUCUCUAUAAAAGAUAAGCUAUAAAGAAGUUUCAAGAAUGAAAACUCAGGAGUUGUAAACACUACUAAAAGAAAUACUUUCAAGUUAUAAUUGUUUUAUAAUGCCUCUCAAAUUUCUAUCACCAGUUGCAUGAAUCCCCUUAUAAUUACUUUUAUUAGACUGAGUUUGAAAAAUCAGGAUAUAAAAAUUAUUGUCCUGAUUGUUCAAGAUCAAGUAUUCUAUUCACAAUCCAACCCAAACUAAUUACUCUUUAUGGAUCAACAUGAUGUUCCUCCAAUUACAAAAUAAAAGUAAUGAAUAAAAUAUACAUUAUCAUUUUCCAAAUUCUACGGUAUGGCAAGGCAGAGAUAUACUUGCUUGCUUUAGGAAACAGGUCUUUCCAAUACUAAGGGAAACUUGAGUUAGACAUUAAAAUGCAAUGAAGACUGUUAUCUGUGCCUUUGAUGUGUGAAGAUGUGAAUUCAAACGCUUAAUUGGUCUAACAUAAAUAACCCUAAUGAAUUAGAAUUAAAUAACUAUCGAUGAGCUGUACUCAUCGAUAAGACCUAUCCAUUCUACAGUAGCGGGCUUCCCCUAUCAUCACAAUUCAACAUUCACUCUUCCGUGAAGCAAAGUGUAGUAUUUCUGAACCACAGAAUUCACCAUUCCUAUCGAUUUAGGAUGACGUCUGUUAGAGUUUUGCCAUCUAAACAGAAGCUGCUGUAGGUACUUUAAAAAAGAAAAGUCUCUCUCCAAGGAAAUAUAAUCCUAUCCCUCAGAAGAGAAGAGAGAAGUGUACCCUGAAACCAAAGGCAGAUUUUAAAAAAAUCUCUAUGGGGCCAGGAGCAGUGUCUCACCCCUGUAAUCCCAGCACUUUGGGAGGCCGAGGCGGGCAGAUCACAAGAUCAGGAGAUCGAGACCAUCCUGGUUAACAUGGUGAAAAGCUGUCUCUACUAAAAAUACAAAAAAUUAGCCGGGCAUGGUGGUAUGCCCCUGUAGUUCCAGCUACUUUGGAGGCUGAGGCACAAGAAUCGCUGAACCCAGGAGGUGGAGGAUACAGUGAAUCAAGAUCGUGCCACUGCUCUCCAUCCUGGGUGACAGAGCAAGUCUGUUUCAAAACAAACAAAUAAACAAACAUCUCAGUGGAAGCUUCUAGCAAUACCAAACUUGUGGAUUCAUAGAGACCCACCCUCUGCUCAUACAUCUGACUUCAGAAGCCCUACAGAAAGAAAAAUCCAUCCUCUCUUCUACCAUGAAAAUCUCUCACCUAAACUGUAUCUGAUGAAGGCAGUUCCUAUCAUACCAUUUUUUUAUAUGGUAUUGGGUAGCAUAUGGGAAGGAGAAAUAAAUUGACUAUAGAAAAUCCAGCACAAAGGCUGUAUGGUUAUCUAUUUAAUAUUAGAGCAACAUCUGUUGGUGUCUCAGCAAUGCAACUUUGGGCAUUUGAAUGUUCUAAGGUGAGAUGUUCUUCCCAAGGUUGGAUGUAAAUAUCCUGUAGACACCUUGAAUAAUGUAUUAUGCAACUGAGGAGGGCUUUCACCUUCUGCAGGGCCCUGCAACAAGUGCCAACAUGUGAAUAGGGCUGUACCUUGUGUGCAGGUGAAAUCAUAUCAUAAAUUAAAAUAAAGCAUGAAAAUGGAGAAGAAAAAAAGACAGAGCAUCAAAAGAAACAAGAGAGAGAAGGGAUGUCAUCCUGCCUGCUGCUAAUACCCACACUUUCUAAAAUAUAUUGAGAGAUGAAGAAAGACUUGGAGAACUUUUGUGUCUAGCUAAAGGAUUAUAAAUGCACAAUCAGUGCUCUGUGUCUACUUAAAGGAUUGUAUAUGCACCAGUCAGCACUCUUAUAAAAUCGCACCAAUCAGCAUUCUAGCUAACAGAUUGUAAACGCACCAAUCAGCACUUUGUAAAAUGGACCAAUCAGCACUCUGUAAAAUGACCAAUCAGUACUCUGUAAAAUGGACCACUUAGCAGGUUGUGGGAGGGGCCAAAUAAGAGAAUAAAAGCUGGCCAUGGAGCCAGCAGCAGGCAACUCACUGGGGUCCCCUUCCAUGCUGUGGAAGCUUUGUUAUUUUGCUCUUCACAAUAAAUCUUGCUGCCGCUCACUCUUUGGGUCCGUACUCCCUUUAUGAGCUGUAAUGCUCAUAGUGAGGGUCUGUGGCUUCACUCCUGAAGUCAGUGUGACGACAACCCCACUAGGAGGAACAAACAACUCCAGAUGCUGCACCAACUUUAAGAGCUGUAAUACUCACUGCGAAGGUCUACAGCUUCACUCUUGAAGUCAGCAAGACCAGAACCACCUGGAAGAAACUCAGACACAUCUGAACAUCUGAAGGAACAAACUCUGGACACAUCAUCUUUAAGAACUGUAGUACUCACCGCGAGGAUCUGUGGCUUCAUUCUUGAAGUCAGCAAGACCAAGAAUACACUGGAAGAAACCAAUUCCAGACACAAUGUGACACAUAUCUGUUAUUUUAACUCUGGGUGCUAGAGUCAAAAUCCUGCAUCACCCAGAAUCAGUGCUCACCAAACAUCUGAGCCAUGACAUGAAUUUCAAGAGCUACUAUGUAGUUCAUGCUGAUGCAGAGAUGAAGUGAGGUGUUUAGUCUAAUGAACUUACUAUUGCCUUCAAAAUAUUAACUUGAAAAAUUAAGUCUGCUAUAAAGAAGCUUAGUUUUCAGAAAACUCUUGAACACUGCUCACAUAAUACAUGUUAUCACAACUUUGUAAAUAUAUUUUUACAGUAUUUUUAAAAGUCACGUUUUUAUACUUCACAGGAGAUACUACAUCUUUUUCUAAUUGAAUACUAUUGCAUACCCUUUGUAGAAAUGUUGGAGAGUGUGGGAUAGAGUAAUUAAGAAGGUAAAAUAUUAUUGAAAUCUUUAUUCAGAAUAAUACAUUUAGUGUAUUUUACUGUCUGUUGUAUCUGUGUAACAAUAUAUAUGGAAUAGUUUUACCUCAUUACUUUCCAAAUGUUAAUAAGAAAGCAAAAAUUGUGUUUGUUUGUUUAUAAGUAGGUUUCAUAACAGAUGCCCUUAUCAUAUUAAAUAAUAUUAAUUAUAUUUAAUGGUUUGUACAUGUUUUAUCUUGUUUAAAAUGAACUUUGGCCAAGGAUGGUGGCCCCUAUCUGUAAUCCCAGCACUUUAGGAGGUCAAGAUAGGAAAAUCACUUGUAUCCAGAAGUGUGAGACCAGACUGGGCAACAUAGUGAGAACUUGUCUCUCAAAAAAAAAAAACAAAAAAAAAAAAAAAGAGAGAGAAAUUUGCCAGGUGUGGUGGUGUGCACCUUUACUCCCAGCUACCUGGUAAGCUGAGGUAGGAGGACUGCUUGAGCCAUGAGGUUGAGGUUGCAGUGAGGUGUGAUCACACCACUGAACUCCAGCCUGGACAACAGAGCAAGACCCAGUCUCAAAAAAUAUGUACAAAAUAAAAUAAAAUAAACCUUUCUUUUUAAAGAUUAUACACCUAUCAUUCACAGAUUAUUCUAAAGAUCUUCAUUCAUUGUAUUUAUGUUAUGAAUUCAUUGACAUUUAUUUUAACAUAUUGUAUAUUAUAUCAUUUUGAUGUGGAAGGCCAAUGGAAUCAAUAGUAUUUAUAAUACAGUCUGUAUAUGGAGUGUCCAAUAGACCUAAAAAAUGAUGGAAAAUUUUUAUUUUGCACUAUUUAAUAUAGUGUCUAUUGGACAUAUGUGUUCAUUGAGUAUUUUUUAAUGUGACUAAUAUACUGAUUUUUAAAUAUUGACUUAAUUAAUUUAAAUGUAAAUCAAAAUAGACACAUUUGGUUCAUAGCUACAUAUUGGUUACGGCCUAUGUAAACACUCUGAAUAAAAGUAGAGAUUAUAAUAUUUCAUAGAAGAAAGAUCCAAUUGCAUUUUACCUAUAAGAAAUGUACUUCAACUAUAAAGACUCAAAAUAAAAGGAUGAAAAAGUUAUGCCAUAUAAACACUAAUCAGAAAGGUGGGAUUCUGAUACUAAUAUGAGACAAAACCAAUUUGAGUAAAGGCAAAAAAUAUUUCCAGAUACAUUAACACAUUCCAAAAUGAUAAGUUGGUCAAUGUGUCAAGAAAAUGGAAUAAGUACAAUAGUUAUACACCUAAUAGUAGAAGAUCAAAAUGCAUAAAAGUAACAUGGAUGCAAAUAGAAACAGAAACACUUGCCACCACCAUUAUAUAUUUUAAUAACACUUUCCCUAUUAUUAGAAGCAGUGUUUUUUAAUAGGAAAAAAGGUUGAAAAAUAUACCAACCAUCUGGACAUUUUGAGAAAUGUUCCAAUGUUUAAAUUAUUGAUGAAAGAAAAUAUAGAUAGAAACUAAAAGGAUUUCCAAAGGGAAACUGCAUAAGAACCUAGAAACAACCAGCCUAAUGUCCUUGUGGUAAGAAAACUCUUAUAUCUCAUGAAAGGUAAGGUUGAAAACCCCAAGUUGUAGCUAGUUAGCAGUUACCUGAAUUAUGCCUUUGGGGGAUAAUCACAUGCAAUUACAACUAUUUUAGAUUGAAUACACAUGUAAACUAAAAAGUAGUGACAGAAACUUAUUACAUUUAAUUUUUAAAAACUUACUGCAUUUUUGUUUGUUUGGUUGGUUUUUUUCUGAGAUGGGCUCUCACUCUGUUGCCCAGGCUGGAGGGCAGUGGAAUGUCCUCAGCUAACUACAGACUCCCCCUCCUGGGUUCAAGCGAUUCUCAUGCCUCUGACUCUCAAAGAGCUGGAUUAUGGAUGCCCACCCCAAUGACUGGCUAAUUUUGUAUUUUUAGUAAAGGUGGGGGUUCACCGUGUUUCCCAGGCUGGUGUCAAUCUACUGGCCUCAAGUGAUCUGCCCACCUUGGCCUCCCAAAGUGCUGGGAUUAUAGGCAUUAGACACUCCAUAUGGCCAGAGUGAAAUUUAAUUAUGGAAUUUUGGAAGUCUCAGUAAGAAAUGUGUCUAACACCAUGGAAAUUGUCAAAAUACCUGGCAAUUUUUUUUAAAGAUAUAUGUAUUCCAUUUCCUGAUCAUAUUGCCUGUGGAAUAAUACUAACAUUUCUGAAUAAAUUAGCUAAUUGAACACAUUCUUUGAUUUUUAACAACAUGUAUGUCCUUAUCAGGAAUAAAUGGUUUAAGAAAUCUGGGCAGGGAAAGUUAUGAAUAAAAUUAUAGAAAGAAUAAAAAACAACCUACAAAAUGACUUAAAUCCAAGUUUACUUGGCAACUAUACCCAUAUUGUAACCACCUGUUAACUUCUUCCUAUCCUCUGCAGAAACAAAAAUCACAGCAUUGCAGUAAAGAAAGAAUUUAACCAGGUCAGUUGCUCAUGCCUGUAAUCCCAGCACUUUGGGACACUGCACUGGGUGAAUCACUUGAGGUCAAGAGUCUCUACUAAAAAUAAAAGAAAAUAAAAAACAUUAGCUAGACAUGGUGGCAGACACCUGUAAUGUCAGCUACUUGGGAGGCUGAGGUGGGACAGUUAUUCAAAUCCAGGAUGCAAAGGCUGAAGUGAGGUGAGAUCACACCACUGCACUCCAGCAUGAGUGACAGGGCAAGACUCCAUUUCAAAAAAAAAUAAAAGAUUUUAAUUGAAGGAAGGGCCAGCCAUUCUGCCAUGCCAUGUAGGAGAUGGAGUUAUUAUUCAAAUCGAUCUCACCAAAGGUUUUUUUUUAGGGGUUUUUCAAAGGCAGUUUGGGUGAUGGGGUGGAGGUAGAAAGGAAGAGGGUACGUAGUGCUGAUUCAUUGGGUUAUAGAUGAAAUCAUAAUGGGACAAAGUGAUCCUCUUGAGUUGAGUCACUUCUGUGUAGGGCCACAGGAGUGGCCUUGUCCAGGUUGGUCCACAUGGGUCCAGGUGGAGCCAGGUGUCAGCCAAGAAAAAAAAAAAAAAACCUGAAAAGAGAUCUCAAAAGGUCAAUGGUAUGUUCUACAUUAGUGAUAUUACCUGCAGGACCUCCAGAAUAACGACGGACAAUCCUUUAUGUCUAUACAUUAGCAGAAAUCAGGCUCCUUUCCUCCCUGUAGCCCAAAAGUGUGUUUCUCACUACCUUUACAAAGGGAGUUGAGCUUUGGAAAAGGCCUAUUAUUUAAACUGGAAACUAAAAGUCUUCCAAAGUUAGCCCAGGAAUAAUGAAGGUAGCUUGUAAGCUAAAGGUAAGUAAAGGGUAUGUUAGAUCACGUUUGUUUCAGUGUCAUAAUUUUCUCUUUGAUAAACAUUUUCCAAAAGGCUUUCAAAGUAAUGACAGUUGCAGGUGGUGGGAGUCUAAACUUGGCUGAAUCUCUGAGUAAAACUGGAUUCUACAUGUAAAAAGGUCACUUAUUGUUUCAGGUACUUAGGCAGGCAUAAACAGGGCAGGAAAGGGCUCUCCACAGCAGACUAAGAAUGUCAGAUGAUGGUUUCACAAUUAUCUAUUUGCCUCUCUAAAAAUGAUAACUGGAAGCCUGAGCCAGUGAAAAGCUAUAUGCUGAUGGGCCACAACUGUUGCAGUAAAGUGUUAGUGGAAUGCACACACCAGGGAGAAGCAAUUUCCUGGGAAUGUGCAUUAACAGACAAAAUGGAGUACGAUCUUCUUGGGCACAUUUCCAGAAAGGGGAAGAAAGCCUCAAAUUGGUCAUGCGUACAACUUACUGAACACAUAGUGCAUGCUCACUUGCCAAGGAUAAGGUCGUGGGGGUGGGGAAAGUGUGCCUGCAGGCAGCACAACCUAAAGGAAGAAUUAUGGGGAAGAGGCCAGCCUAUAAAGUCCUAGGAUCAGGGUUGUAUUAGUUCUUUUUCAUAUUGCUGAUAAAGACAUAUCCAACACUGGGUAAUGUAUUUAUUUAUUUAAAAAAAGAAGUUUAAUAGACUCAUAGUUCCAAGUGGCUGUAGUGGCCUCAUAAUGAUGGUAGAAGGAGAAAGGCAUAUCUCACAUGGUGCCAGACAAGAGAAGUGAACGUGUGCAGGGAAACUAACCUUUAUAAAAUAAUCAGAUCUCAUGAGUCUUAUUCACUACCAUGAGAGCAGCAUGGGAAAGACCGACUCCCAUGAAUUAAUUACUUCCACUGGGGCCCUCCCACAACCCAUGGGAAUUGUGGGAGCCACAAUUCAAGAUGAGAUUUGGGUGGGGACACAGACAAAUCAUAUCAAAGGUUAAACAGCACACUUGUUCUUCAAGUUGCCCACUUGAGUCUUUUCCAAGCAUACUUUCCUUUUUUUCGUGUCUUAAAGCCUUUUUAAAUAAACUUCUCUGCUCCAAAACUUGCCUUGGUCCCUUUUUCUGCUUUAUGCCCCUCAGUUGAAUUCUUUCUUCUGAGGAGGCAACAACUGAUGUUGCUGCAGACCCAUAAAGAUACACGGCCGGUAACCCAACUACUUUCCACUGGUAAAACUAUGGGCCUAGAAAAGAUGAUAUAAUUUUGGACCACUUGGACACAUUUCAGAAUUUCAGAAAAAGGCAUCUCUUUAACUCGAUGAUAAGUACAUCAUGGAACUAACUUCUAUGUCAAGAGAGUAAGGACAGUGAUUUCAUAAUGUUUACGACCUUCAGUAUACUCAAAUUUAAUCAUUGUUCUUUCACAUUAAAAAGUAGUAUUGAGGCCACCUCAGAAUCACUGUAUACAUUGGGAAAACAGGUUCUUAUUUAUAGUGCUGCAAAUGUAUUAGGGCUUUAAAAGUGAAUGAGUUCUUUAACGUUCAAGGCCAAAAUUGCUGACAAAGCCCCCUCUGUCUUCUUCAGUCCCCAGAGCACAUCCUUCCUUCCAGGAGAUGAUAAACAUGAAAGCACACAGUACUGACUGUAGUUGUCUGUCUCUGGCAUAUGGCACCAACAAUGAGGGAUGAAACACUCUGAUAACUGGCUUUGGAAUCAGAAACACUUCUUGCAAGAGAAGCAAAAUGAUUCUUCCCUGCAACAUGAGAAUUGUCAUGAGUCCCUCCACUUUCAGAGAGGUUGCUUGAAACAGGAAAGGAGAAAUCAGCCAAGAGUAUAAUGUCUGCAUUCUUCACAAUCUGUCAUUUCAUUGGCCAAAGCUUUAGCUUGGAAUAGGGUCUGAUAUUAGUUUUGGUUAUGAGUUUGCCAGUGAUCACCCCACAGUAGAAAGUCCCACGUGUUAGUCAUAAAAUCUUCAUCUCAAGGACACCAGGCAAUUCACACUUCAUGGUUAACAAAAAUGAAAUAUUGAAGACAUGCUCAGAGAAGUGGCAUAAAUGAGUAUUUACACAGCUAUCCCAGAGAUGCUCUGUGUGAGUCAGGUGAGAACAAACAAGAUGGCUAGCAUCACUUCUUUUUUCAGAAAGCAAGCCAACAGGAGUCCCAUGCAAGCAUUGUACUCAUUAUGCUACUAGCUAAAUCCAGGUGAUUUACAACUGCAAUUCAUUUUCAGUGAAAUACCUUUGCCCACAUAUUAAAACCUCUCUGCACAAGCAUUUCUAAGCAUUUCUAAAGCAUUAAACAACCAUUUCACAAACUCAAUUCAGAAAAAAAGAUGAGCUCAGCUCUGAAAUGUUUGUUAAGUCUCUGUUACAUAAUUGCAUGUAUGAAUUCAUCUGCUUCACCUAUUUAUGUGUGUGUCAAAUGAAGAGAAGUAUUAACAACUCUUGCCUCCUCUUGUCAAAAAAAAAAAAAAAAACUUUAUAAAGAAGCUUUCAUCAUGUCGCUAUUCCACCCAAAUGUCAUCUUAUCUUGUAUAACAUGUUAUAUAAUUUCAUUUUAAACCUAGAUGUGAGAAAAGUGAUAUCUCAAAAAUGCCAUGGUGAGAACACCCAGGUGUCCGGAAUUUUAUAAACUUUACCGUAUAUUCACAUAAAAUUUCUUCUAUACCAAUAUCAUCAGUUUCUUAAAUAUAUUAUUCAAUUCCCAUGUUAAAUAAUAGUGUUAGGUUAUCCACUCUUUUAUAGAUACCUGACUUUAAAGUUCUCACAAGCUGAAACUCCCAUGUUCUUAUUUUAAAUAGAACAAAGAAAGUUUCUCUAGCUAAGAUUGUCAUUUUAUUCAUCACAGAAUUAUACUUGAGGGAAAAUAAAAAGACUGCACUUGAAUUAUUUUAAAGCAAUCUAUGAAAACGUACUGUAUUGGGGCAUCAUUCCCCAGUAUCAUACGCAAUACUAGCAAAACGGUUUCUAUGGUUUAACUAACACAAAACUCACUUUUGUAAACAAUGAUAGGUCAAUAUUUUCAAAUCAAUUAUGCCUAAGCACAUAAAUCAAAAGAAAGUCACACUCCAUGUCUUUAGAGAGGAUCAUCCCAUAACCAAAAUUAGGUAUAUGGCCUUCUAUGCUAUCUUAAAAUAUCUCACUGGUUAAUGUUACUCAACAUCUCAUAACAUAUAACCCAGAACUCUCCCCAUCAACACUCACACGCUUGUAAUUUACGCAUAGUCUGUCCCUUAUAUUUGUGACUUUCACAGCCACAUAUUCAACAAACCACUCCUUAUAUUUUCAUAUUCUUAUGAAUAUGCAUAUGUUGUAAAUAACACCAUGAAAAUUUAAGGAGCUCAUGC
rnacentral:lncRNA from 1 species